rnacentral:rRNA from 1 species
GUGGGGAAUUUUGGACAAUGGGCGCAAGCCUGAUCCAGCAAUGCCGCGUGCAGGAAGAAGGCCUUCGGGUUGUAAACUGCUUUUGUACGGAACGAAACGGUCCUGGUUAAUACCUGGGGCUAAUGACGGUACCGUAAGAAUAAGCACCGGCUAACUACGUGCCAGCAGCCGCGGUAAUACGUAGGGUGCGAGCGUUAAUCGGAAUUACUGGGCGUAAAGCGUGCGCAGGCGGUGUAAGACAGGCGUGAAAUCCCCGGGCUCAACCUGGGAAUUGCGCUUGGGACUGCAGUGCUGGAGUACGGCAGAGGGGGAUGGAAUUCCGCGUGUAGCAGUGAAAUGCGUAGAUAUGCGGAGGAACACCGAUGGCGAAGGCAGUCCCCUGGGCCUGUACUGACGCUCAUGCACGAAAGCGUGGGGAGCAAACAGGAUUAGAUACCCCAGUAGUCC